AGAAUCAACGCUGGCGGCGUGCCUAACACAUGCAAGUCGAACGAGAAAGUGGAGCAAUCCAUGAGUACAGUGGCGACCGGGUGAGUAACACGUGACCAAUCUACCUUCGAGUGGGGAGUAACUCCGGGAAACCGGGCGUAAUACCGCAUAACAUCUUUGGAAUGCAAAUUCCGUUGAUCAAAGGAGCAAUUCGCUUGAAGAGGAGGUCGCGGCUGAUUAGUUAGUUGGCGGGGUAAUGGCCCACCAAGACGAAGAUCGGUA
rnacentral:rRNA from 1 species